GACGAACGCUGGCGGCGUGCCUAAUACAUGCAAGUAGAACGCACAGUUUAUACCGUAGCUUGCUACACCAUAGACUGUGAGUUGCGAACGGGUGAGUAACGCGUAGGUAACCUGCCUGGUAGCGGGGGAUAACUAUUGGAAACGAUAGCUAAUACCGCAUAAUAUUAAUUAUUGCAUGAUAAUUAAUUGAAAGGUGCAAUUGCACCACUACCAGAUGGACCUGCGUUGUAUUAGCUAGUAGGUGAGGUAACGGCUCACCUAGGCGACGAUACAUAGCCGACCUGAGAGGGUGAUCGGCCACACUGGGACUGAGACACGUCCCAGACUCCUACGGGAGGCAGCAGUAGGGAAUCUUCGGCAAGGGACGAAAGUCUGACCGAGCAACGCCGCGUGAGUGAAGAAGGUUUUCGGAUCGUAAAGCUCUGUUGUAAGAGAAGAACGGGUGUGAGAGUGGAAAGUUCACACUGUGACGGUAUCUUACCAGAAAGGGACGGCUAACUACGUG
rnacentral:rRNA from 1 species